CUGUUCCCUCUGCCUGGAAGGCAGGCCCCCACGUGUCCUCUUGCUGCUGUUCUUCCAUCUACCAAAUCACCUGCUCACUCAGGCCCUUCUGGUCGUUUCACCUAAAAUGGCAUCUCUCCCAGAGCUCCCUAGCCCGUUUCCUUUCUAACCUGAUCGAGAUUCUUUUUAUUUGCGUUGUCUUUUUCCCCUAGAACGUCAGCUCUAGGCCAGGGAUUCUUUUAUCUCUUGCAUCUCUUUCUUCAAGAACGGUGCCGGGCACAUAGUAGGGACAUUUGAAGUCCGUAUCGAAAAAAUGAUGUCACUUCCUUCUAUAAGUGAAGCACAUUUCUAGGAGACAAACCUUGGGCUCAUCGGGGUGAAAUCGCUUGCCCAAGAUCACACGGCGACGAGGACCUGUUUCAGACGCCCGGGCUCAUAAACACUUCACCACAAUACAGUCUUCCUCUGAUAAGCAGCCGCUGAGCUCCGUGUAAGGAAACAGUUUCUCACAUCAGCCUUUCUUCUCGGGGAGCCAGACCGCAAGGCUUCAGGUGGCUUUCCUGAGUUGCAAGACGGAGAUCACAGAGAAGCAGGCAGAGAGAGAGGAGGAAGCAGGCCUGAGCUGACAGCACAGGCUUUAACCCACUGAGCCACCCAGGUGCCCCAGCAUUAUCUGUUACUUAUAGCUGAAGGCUUCCUGAUACACCUGCCUACAUCCAUCAAUAUGAACACCAAAGAAUCUCAGCUGGUAGUCACAGCCCUGGCAAAUAAGACCGUGGGAUCUGGAUCGGAGUGUCUGGGAUCUGAGACACUGAGUAAAGGAAGUCUCCACAGGAGGCGGCAGCUUUGGAAUUUCCCACAGCCACUCCUCCAACAAGCUCUGUAAAGCUUCAGUACUUUGAUUGAAUUAGAUGCAAGCAGAAUGGGAAGUAAGCCACUGUUUGUGAAAUGUUUAUGAAAACAACUUGAAAAUCUACAUUCCUAAAACAGUUUUCUGUAGGACAGUGUUUCCUAAUCUCUUCCCCACUGAAAACCCCUUUUAAUGUGAUUUCCCCCAUAGAAUCCCUGCUUUGAAUAGAAGCAAACAGACACAUUUGUUAACUAACAAUGAAUUUAUCUUCCCAAAAGGAAAUCAAGGAAUCAAGAUCCCCCCCCAACCCCCAAAACUGAAAGUCAUCCUUGCGCCUUUGAGUAAACAAUUACUUUUAAGCUUCUUGAAACGCUGAAAGCAGCUGGAGGAAUUCUCCCCUGCCCCCUCGGACUGUGGUUAUUACUUUCUGAAAUUGCUAAGCUUCUAGGUUUGACACUAGCAUUCCACUUGGCACCAGGCACACAGCACAAAAUUGACACAAGUCUGUGACUUGUAGGGUGACUUGUAGGUCUUUUGCUAUCAGUUUAUCCUGGUGCCUGGUAAUGAGUGCUCCACUGUGGGAGUUACUCCUGCUCCAAGUUCUCCCCGUCUACGCGUCCUGCUGGGUGGUGAGAUUUUUGUCUGCCAAGCAGGCAGAGGCCAGACUUUCGCCCCCGUUUUCUGUUAAUGUGAUACCUCGAAGUUCAAAAAGCAAACUGGAAUAUCUGAUGCCUUUUACCUAAGGAGUUGUCCUUUGAGAUGUAGAAUAAGUCACUUAUCCCCCUAAAUGAACCUCUUUCCCAGUACAAUGUUGUUACUUUAGGAUGGGGAAAAAAUUCUCAAGUAAGAACGUAAUAAAGCAGUAAGCAACAUCAUUUUCUCAAAGGAAAAAAGUAUUUUUUUUUUAUUAUCUUCAUAACUUGCCAUAGCACUUUUUUGGGGGAAAGAUUAGAAUAAAUAGGAGCUUGGAAAUCUGACCUUGGCUGGUGUAAGGACAGAGAGAAUCUGGUAGUUCUUAAUUUCUCGUUUAGGUUCUCAGUGUUCCAGGAAGCAGUUUGCUCAAGUUUCUUUCCUCCAUCGCUCUCCUGAAUGCCCGGCUUCAGUGCCUGGGCACUGCUGCCAAGGACCCUGCUGGUGCGUUCAGCUGCCAUUCAAGGAAGCAGCCUCCACACGGCCUCGCGCUCGGAAGUCUGUCUUACAGCACAAAACAGGUGGAAGGACAUUCUGCCUUUGGAGUUCUACUGGCAUGUCUUGCUACUUCUCUUGCUCAAUGCCAAGAAUGACAAAAAUCUUUUGUGUGUGUUUGGGGGUGGGAAAGACCAGAUAGUACUGUGAAUAGCAGUUAACUUGCUGUUUGGGCAAGAUUCCCAGGGCAGCUGUUGUAACUCAGGCGGCAAUAACUCUAACACUCAGCUCUGUUGCUAGGAUGGAUUGAGAGAAACUUUGGACAAAUAAUUUUAAAAAUUAUAAUCCCAUGAUAUGUUGAAUAUAUCACUGAUCAACUCAAAAGCUGAAUAUUUGUUAGUAUCAUAUUGAGGAAGUACAAUGAGCAUGUUAAAUGACUAGCGCUGUGUUUGCACUUCCAUUUCCAUUCUAAAUAUUUUCUGCCUUCAGUGAAGUCAUUAGCAUCUGUUGGUAAAAAUUUGAACUGACCCAAGAUUUGCAAUCUGUAGCUACAACUGAGACAGGAUCACCUUUUUUACAUGUUCACAAUCUUAUUUACACUAACAAUGGAAUUGUAAGUGAAUUUAUAUUCACAAUGGAAUUUUAAGUUCUAACUUGUGAAUUUGCCAAUUGUUCGUUCUUAGCUAAAGACUUAAACCUACAUUUAAUUUUUAGUCUUGAUGCAUGCAUGUGCAUGCAUAUACAUAAAUGUUCUUUUAUUUUUUGUGUAAGGAAAAAGACUGUAUUAGUAUUCAAACGGUAGAUAUUUACACUAAAUUAAAUUUACACUUUAGUGUAAGAUAAAAAUGUGACUAACUGAAACAAAGUAUUUCUGGAAAAUGAAUUCUCAACAUAAAGUUACGUGAAUAUCAACAUGGUCAAGUUAAAGCUCCUCAGGAUUCCCUAGACCUUAUGAAUGAGCACCAGUUUUAAAAAUAAUUGCAUGGUGGGGUGCCUGGGUGGCUCAGUCGGCUCAGUCUUGAGCGUCUGACUCUAGAU